rnacentral:rRNA from 1 species
AUUGAACGCUGGCGGCAGGCCUAACACAUGCAAGUCGAGCGGAUGACGUGAGCUUGCGCCUUGAUUCAGCGGCGGACGGGUGAGUAAUGCCUAGGAAUCUGCCUGGUAGUGGGGGCAGACGUUUGGAAAGGAACGCUAAUACCGCAUACGUCCUACGGGAGAAAGCAGGGGAGUUUCGGGCCUUGCGCAAUCAGAUGAGCCUAGGUCGGAGUAGCUAGUAGGUGAGGUAAUGGCUCACCUAGGCGACGAUCCGUAACGGGUCUGAGAGGAUGAUCAGUCACACUGGAACUGAGCCACGGUCCAGACUCCUACGGGAGGCAGCAGUGGGGAAUAUUGGACAAUGGGCGAAAGCCUGAUCCAGCCAUGCCGCGUGUGUGAAGAAGGUCUUCGGAUUGUAAAGCACUUUAAGUUGGGAGGAAGGGUUGUACGUUAAUACCGUGCAAUUUUGACGUUACCGACAGAAUAAGCACCGGCUAACUCUGUGCCAGCCGCCGCCGUAA